AAUCUAUACAGAUGUUGCAGAGCUGAGUUUAAUUUACAUGCUGCAUCUUCCAGUAAAGCAAUUUUGGUUUUUUGCCACAUCUGCCAGCAGCCCUAAUUCAAAGCCAAUGGGUACUGCACUACCAAACAAAUAAGGCAAUUUUUAAUGUCAAAAUAUUCAUUUUAGAGUAGUAUAUUUACAUUCUCUUUGCCCUGAGUGAUCAUAAAAUGGUUUGAAGUUUAAAAUGAUUUUGCCCAGUAGCCAUUUCUGAAAUGAAACAGAUCAAUUAGUCAAUAUAAUACAGCUAAUAUUGGAAGUAUAUGCUGCACAAUAUGGUAAAAUGCCACUUGGAGCUAAAUGCCUUUUACACACUAUUGUUUUUCUCCCUGUUAAGUUCCUGGCUGGGGGCUGACAUUGUAGUGUGCCUGGUGUUCUGAAAAUUGAAGGGGUAAAGGUUUUAUUUACCAGAGAUUUGUGUUGCUGAUUAAUCAUUAAUGUCCAGUUCAAUUCGUUUACAAAAAUAUCAUAGUGCAGGUCAAAAUUUAAAAUAAAAAUCCCAUUUCAUCAUGACAUGGGUGUACGUGUAACAGAGAUGAAUUGUAAAGCAUCGCAAACAGAUUCUACUUUCCAACAUCUUCAGAGAAAGUAAAUUAAUUUUAUGUUGAUGAUAAAUACUCACACUGUAAUAUUUUUGUCUGCCUGAUUUGAUAAGAUCACACGCAGUAUGUAUCAGAGAAACUGAUUCUACUUAGACUGUUAUCAUUUAUUAUCUCUGGAGCAGCAGAUUAUAAAGAGGUGUUGCAAUCUUACUGAAAGCAGACAGUAUUCCAAACCUAAGAUUCAGUCCAAUGUUCACAAAUGCAAGCAGGGAUGGUGUUAUAAAAGGGAAAAGAAUCAGAAAAGAAAGCUGGUAAUAAGAGCCUUACAACCCUGCCGUACUAGGUAUUAGAGCUAAAUUCCUAAUCACCAACUUGGAGGGAAAAGAGGGAGACCUCUAUUCUAUAUCUGUUACUGGGCAAGAGAAAAAAAGCACUGAAUGUGAUGCCUGGGAGUCUGCUACAAAACAAAAAGGAGAUUUAACUGUGAGCUAACAUAUACAUUAUACUCAGGGCAGUCAACCAGAUUCUCCAUUUUAUUUGGUCUCUGACCUUUUAAAAAUCUUUUGGAAAAGUAUCUGUUGCCCAUACAGACACUGACUACAGGUGUACUAGUAAAUUUUUAGCAUGCCUGAAGUCCAGCUGCUUUGCUUGCAAGUUUACCUUACAAAAUGCAUGCCUACAUUUUUUGGGAGGGGUGCAACACAAUUUCUUUCCGUUUCAAAACAAACCAAAUAAAAAUAUGGGGAAUAGAUAUUUUUUUCCUCAAGAAAAGGAUGUGGCUUUCAAAUUCCACUACAAAGAAUUGUCUGUUUUAUCUUAAACUACUAGGAAUUUCUUAAAGCACUGAGGCAUGAUAGUUAUCAAACUGAUUUUUUUAUUGUUCAGGUCUAUACUAUAUGGAUAUUCAUCAAAUGUCAGCUAAACUCCCUUUGUUCUCUGACCGUGCACUAAGCAGUGUGCAAACCCUUAAAAGGAUAUUGUUUUGGAUCCAUCCCUUCUUUGGGAGCUCAAAAAUCUUGGUCAGAAAGAUUAUAAUAGAGCAACAUAGAAAAAUAUUUACAAAUCUGGAGCUGCAUCCUGACACAGUAUAAACUGAUAUAGGACAGCUGAGGUCAAAGGAGCUAUGCUGAUUUACACAAAUUGCUAAUCUGGCCACUGGUUUUUACAGAGAAAGGAAUAUGUUAAGUAUAUAUAUAAAGAAACAUAUUAACUUCUAGUUUUCUAGGCAAUUGAUUAUAUAAGCUACAUCUGUCUGUUCACACCUGUUUAAGGCUGUAACAGUUCUUGUGUACUGUACGGUACUGCGUUAUUCUUUAAACAGUAAAUAUAAACUGUUAUAGAAAAUAGGUUAAAUGAUAGUGUUUUGUAUGUGUUUUAAUCAGUUAUUGCAGUGUUCAAGGUCAAAAUCUACAAUAAACAGCACUCUCACGCUAGGCUAAAAUUGCACAGCUGAUACACGAAUAGAGUGAACUUUCUAGAACAUGUUUUCAUGCAAAUCUGCAAAGCUACUAAAACUUACUUAAGACCACACAGCCUUGGGAUUCACAAAUCACGGGGGAUGCGUUAAACAGUAUCAUUUGGCCUGAGCAAAGUGAAUGUGAGGAGCCCAAUUUUCAAAAUGAAUAUAAAAGUUAUGCCACUUACACCUAUAAUAUCAUUCAAGGCACAGCAAGACCCAGACAUUUUUGGUGUGCAUACACCCAAAGGAGCCAAAAAGUCCAAUUCCAUAUUGGGCCAGGUAUCCAACUAGCAUUCUCCGAAUAACAGAAAUACUGAACGAAGCUUGGCCCAGGAAGUAAGUAAUAUCAAAAGGAUGGAAGUCAGAAAAAAACAUAAUUGACUUUUGCUGAUAUUUGCUUGAGCACAUUUCUUUCUCCAUGGUGACUGGAGGCUUCCAAUAUAUUACCUGAAUUCUGACUAUAAGAACAAGUGUGCUUGCUAUAUUGCUGUCCUGAGACCUCAUUUUUUUUGCACCUGGAUUAGUAUAUUGCUUCAAUACAUGUACAUUGACCAACACUUUGAAACGCAUUCCUCUUUAUUAGAAUAAUCAUGAGAUUAUUCUUAGAUGGUAAAAAAUUAAGGAGGAUAUUAGCAAUAUCACCUGCAUAUGUGAACCUAUUAACUUGCAUGUGAUUUGUCCAAGCGAGUCUACCACUAUUAUCAGUGCUAUUAGAAUGACAUGCACUUUGACGAUAUGAACCAGUUUGGCCUAUUGUGAUUUACUGUUGUUAAGGAGAACUACAGUCAGGAGAGUCAGGAACUUCCCACCUCCAACACAAGUCCUUGACACUGACUUCGUUCUCUGGUCUUCAAAAAGUAAAAACUUUCUACUCCCAGUCUACAGCUCUGAAUGACACUAUUUCCUACUUACAAGGGAAUUAUACAUGUUAAAUAUAUUAAAUAGAUAUGAUUUCAUUUUAUUGUUUACUACUGUGGAGUUCCUUCUUUACUUUACUAUGAGUUCAGAAUUAGGCUCAAUGUACAAAGCAGUGAGGAAUAUUUUUAUUAGUGUUUCUCUAAAGCACAGUUUGGUUUUUUCUCAGACUAUACUGACAUCAGCAAAUUAUGUCAGAUUUAUAGGUGGAUAGAUUCAAUUUAUGGAUUAAAAUAUGAUAAAAUAAUACAUUUAUUAGAUUUACUCAGCAGCAGCAUUUUCCAGUCAUAUUUUCUACUCAACAUACAUUUUGAAAUAAUUGCAACAAGCAUUCUAAAUAGACACAGCAUAUAUUUUAAGAACUCAGGUAUAAAACAAUCAAAUAGCAGAAGUCUCACUGUUUAUAAAUUUAGAAAUCUGCCGUUAUGUGUAGCUAGCCAAGAAUGUAAAAUGACAUAUUAUACAUUUCUGCAGCAGUACUCAGACUUUCCUUAAAUGGUUCAUGUUAUGGAAACUACACUGGCUUAAUAGAAAAGCUAGCAAGAUGCACAGUACAUUCUGAAAGAAAGAUAUGGAAAUAACCAGAUAACUACGAAGACUGCAUCAC